CCCAUUUCAGGACUGAACCUGGAGAGUUUCCAGUACUCUACCAGUCUCAGCUAUGGGAGGGAGAGUCAAGCAGAGGCAAACCCAUUCCAUUCCUAGGUGGUACAGUGGCUAGUGAGUGGAAGGCAAUCUGCUACAUGU
rnacentral:snoRNA from 2 species